rnacentral:rRNA from 1 species
AAACCAACAGGGAUUGCCUCAGUAACGGCGAGUGAAGCGGCAAAAGCUCAAAUUUGAAAUCCUUCGGGAGUUGUAAUUUGUAGGUUGGGAGACCCCGCGGCUAGUGGCACCAAGUCCCUUGGAACAGGGCGCCUUAGAGGGUGAGAGCCCCGUAGGUACCACAACACCGUCUUGUGUCUCCUCUCCAAAGAGUCGAGUUGUUUGGGAAUGCAGCUCAAAGUGGGUGGUAAAUUCCAUCUAAAGCUAAAUAUCGGCGAGAGACCGAUAGCGAACAAGUACAGUGAUGGAAAGAUGAAAAGCACUUUGAAAAGAGAGUGAAACAGUACGUGAAAUUGUUGAAAGGGAAGGGCUUGCAAGCAGACACGGCCUUCGUGCCGGGCCAGCAUCGGUUGCUAGGGGUGGAUAAGGAACAAGGAAUGUAGCUCCUCGGAGUAUUAUAGCCUUGCGCGAUACACCCACUGGCGACCGAGGCCUGCGGUAUUCCUACCUAGGAUGCUGGCGUAAUGGUUGCAAGCCGC